UACGAAGGGGGCUAGCGUUGCUCGGAAUCACUGGGCGUAAAGGGCGCGUAGGCGGCCGAUUAAGUCGGGGGUGAAAGCCUGUGGCUCAACCACAGAAUUGCCUUCGAUACUGGUUGGCUUGAGACCGGAAGAGGACAGCGGAACUGCGAGUGUAGAGGUGAAAAUUCGUAGAUAUUCGCAAGAACACCAGUGGCGAAGGCGGCUGUCUGGUCCGGUUCUGACGCUGAGGCGCGAAAGCGUGGGGAGCAAACAGG
rnacentral:rRNA from 1 species